rnacentral:rRNA from 1 species
CGAGCACGCGCGUGUGGCAUAUCAAUAAGCGGAGGAAAAGAAACUAACAAGGAUUCCCUUAGUAACGGCGAGUGAAGCGGGAAGAGCUCAAAUUUGAAAUCUUCAAGGUUCUACCUUGACGAAUUGUAGUUUAUAGAAGUGUUUUCUGUUAGUGGAGUGGCAAAAGUUCUUUGGAAUAGGACAUCAUAGAGGGUGAGAAUCCCGUAUUUGGUCAUUCUUUCUAGCUUUGUGAUACACUUUCAACGAGUCGGAUUGUUUGGGAAUGCAGUCCAAAAUGGGUGGUAAAUUUCAUCUAAAGCUAAAUAUUGGCGAGAGACCGAUAGCGAACAAGUACCGUGAGGGAAAGAUGAAAAGAACUUUGAAAAGAGAGUUAAACAGUACGUGAAAUUGUCAAAAGGGGAAGCGUUUGACACCAGUGUUGUUUUUCCGAAAAUCAAUUACGAAUGUUUUGUUUUUGAGGAGUUAUGACUUCAUCGGCUUGCUUCUUUCUUUACGAAACUUUCUUAAUGCACUUUUCGGUUAACAAGUCAACAUCAAUUUCUUUUGUUGUAAAAGGGUAUGAGGAAGGUGGCUCUCUUUUCGGAGAAAGUGUUUAUAGCCUUGUGCCUCUGCAAUCGGAGAGAUUGAGGUCUGCAGCGUAGAUCCUUCGGGGUUAGAUACGUUUGUGCUAAGUUAUAGCUUUUCAUAGACAACUUGUUGACUAUGUUUAGUCUUGUAGCUUACUCGCUGACGCUAUUUUACCUACGCUUAGGAUGUUGAACUCUAUCACACACAG